rnacentral:rRNA from 1 species
CGGCGAGUGACCGGGAAGAGCUCAAAUUUGAAAUCUGGCGUGCUCAGUGCGUCCGAGGUGUCUCUAUAGAGUUUUUUCUUGCCGGACUGUGUCCUCCCCCCUUGGAACAGGUUAUCGAGGAUGGUGAUAAUCCCGUACUUGACACAAUGACCGGUGCUCUGUGAUACGUCUUCUACGAGUCGAGUUGUUUGGGAAUGCAGCUCAAAAUGGGUGGUGAUGCCCAUCUAAAGCUAAAUAUUGGCGAGAGACCGAUAGCGAACAAGUACCGUGAGGGAAAGAUGAAAAGCACUUUGGAAAGAGAGUUAAACAGUACGUGAAAUUGUUAAAGGGGAAACGAUUGAAGUCAGUCGUGACUGCUGAGGAUCAGCCGGGUCUGCCCUUGUAUUCCCCUCCAUCGGGUCAACAUCAGUUUUGUUCGGUGGAUAAGGGCAGUUGGAAGGUGGCACCCCCCCCCUGUGUGGUGUGUUAUUCCUCCUACAUCAUAUGCGACCGAGAAAUGAGGAUCGCAUUUACUCCGGGGUCCUUCCUUCGCUAUCCUAUUAUGUUGACGUAAUGGCUUAAUGCUACU